rnacentral:rRNA from 1 species
GAAAGCCAAUCUCAGUUCGGAUUGUAGGCUGCAACUCGCCUACAUGAAGUUGGAAUCGCUAGUAAUCGCGAAUCAGAAUGUCGCGGUGAAUACGUUCCCGGGUCUUGCACACACCGCCCGUCACACCACGAGAGUUUACAACACCCGAAGUCAGUGGCCUAACCGCAAGGAGGGAGCUGCCUAAGGUGGGGUAGAUGAUUGGGGUGAAGUCGUAACAAGGUACC